CGAGGGGAGCGGACAGGCGCGGGCAGUCACACGAGGCUGACCUGAGGAAAGUCCGGACUCCGUGGGAAGGAUGCUGGCUAACGGCCAGGUGGCGUGAGCCAUGGAUAGGGCCAUAGAAACGGAAACCGCCUGAAAGGUGUAAGCUGAGUAAGGCAAGGGUGGAAAGGUGAGGUAAGAGCUCACCAGCAGUGCAGCAAUGCACUGGCUUGGCAACCCACAUCCGGAGCAAGGUCAAACAGGGGGUUGGGUGUCCCGCCCUUACUCCCCCGGGUAGACCGCAUAGACAGAUGCCUGUCGAAACAGAAUCCGGCUUACGGCUCCCCUCGAAUU
rnacentral:RNase_P_RNA from 1 species